rnacentral:rRNA from 1 species
UGAGGAAUAUUGGUCAAUGGGCGCGAGCCUGAACCAGCCAAGUAGCGUGAAGGAUGAAGGUCCUACGGAUUGUAAACUUCUUUUAUAAGGGAAUAAAGUCACCCACGUGUGGGUGUUUGUAUGUACCUUAUGAAUAAGCAUCGGCUAACUCCGUGCCAGCAGCCGCGGUAAUACGGAGGAUGCGAGCGUUAUCCGGAUUUAUUGGGUUUAAAGGGAGCGUAGACGGGUCGUUAAGUCAGCUGUGAAAGUUUGGGGCUCAACCUUAAAAUUGCAGUUGAUACUGGCGUCCUUGAGUACGGUUGAGGCAGGCGGAAUUCGUGGUGUAGCGGUGAAAUGCUUAGAUAUCACGAAGAACCCCGAUUGCGGAGGCAGCCUGCUAAACCGCCACUGACGUUGAGGCUCGAAAGUGUGGGUAUCAAACAGGAUUAGAUACCCUGGUAGUCCACACGGUAAACGAUGGAUACUCGCUGUUGGCGAUAGACUGUCAGCGGCUUAGCGAAAGCGUUAAGUAUCCCACCUGGGGAGUACGCCGGCAACGGUGAAACUCAAAGGAAUUGACGGGGGCCCGCACAAGCGGAGGAACAUGUGGUUUAAUUCGAUGAUACGCGAGGAACCUUACCCGGGCUUGAAUUGCAGACGAAUUGCUUGGAAACAGGCAAGCCGCAAGGCGUCUGUGAAGGUGCUGCAUGGUUGUCGUCAGCUCGUGCCGUGAGGUGUCGGCUUAAGUGCCAUAACGAGCGCAACCCUCGUGUCCAGUUACUAGCAGGUUAUGCUGAGGACUCUGGACAGACUGCCAUCGUAAGAUGUGAGGAAGGUGGGGAUGACGUCAAAUCAGCACGGCCCUUACGUCCGGGGCUACACACGUGUUACAAUGGGGGGUACAGCAGGCAGCUACCGGGCGACCGGAUGCCAAUCCCGAAAGCCUCUCUCAGUUCGGACUGGAGUCUGCAACCCGACUCCACGAAGCUGGAUUCGCUAGUAAUCGCGCAUCAGCCACGGCGCGGUGAAUACGUUCCC